AUUAACAAAUUUGUUGAUCUCUUCGAUGACGUAUUUGCUUCUCGCUCACUGGCAGUUGCUGGCAGUGCUCUUCUGUUACGAUAGUAUCAGAUAGUAUUUGUGACUUAUUAAUGUGAUAUUAUAUGUGCAUUUUUGAUAAAAGUAAUAGUGCAAUAUUUGUAUUACAAUAGGUUCUGGAAUCACAGUUUUAUCUGUUGGAAAUAUUUUUAUUAUUCGGCUUUCAGAUUUUUUUACGAUUCCUUGUAAAUAAAUUGUUAAGUAACCGAACAGAAUAUGGAGUUGACUCCGCCAUAUGUUUGAUAAUCUAGGAAAAGCGUGAAAAUUUGUUUAUGGAUAUUGGUCGAUUUAGUGAAAAAUAGUGGCUUUCAGUUCGGUACAAACUGAUUUUGUAAAAUAAUUCAGUUAUGUUUCCUAUUUUGGUGACAACAUUACCGUUUUCUUUCAUUAACCGCUUUUUAUUCUACAAACUGAUUAUUUUUAACAUUUAUUUGUUCUUUUCGUAGACACACUUCGGAGUGUAUUCUUUUCUGCCUUCUCCAAACAAAUUUUUUCCCUUAGUAGUUCAACCUACGUAAACAGUGGACUUCCUUUCUAAUCGAAAAUUUUAAAGAUCCUUAUUGACAAGAGCCUUGGGUGUACCAAGGAGCAUGGAAAUGGUCUAUCCAUGAUGUAAUAAUAUUGUGAAGAGGUUUUUCCAAAUGUAUUGUUUUUCCUACUUUGGAUUAAGUUUCAAAGAAGGGCGCUCUCUCCUGGAAAUAAGGAUAACGAUCAGAUGAUGAAGUGGAUUACUGAAGAAUAAGUUUGUGAUCUGUAAUUGUGUACUUCUUGAAUACAUUAGGGGUUGUAAAACUGGUAAGUGAGAAAAAUUUCUCAUUUGCUCCAGAAAUGACCUUAAAGAAAGCACGGCUUUUUAUUGGGAAUGAAGGCAGUGUGUUGUUGCUAAAGGGUGAAUCUAUAACUAGUAAGUAAUAGUACUAAUUAAAAAUAGUCAAUGAGGUCCCACAAAUUUGACAUUUGCAACUUUUAAUAGAAAAUUUUUAAACAGUGUUUCAAUAAUGGCAGAAGCACAACAGCUGAAUUAAUAUAGAACUGAUCUUUUCAUCAGUAUGAAUGUUACUGAUUUAAUUGUUUUAAAAGUGGUAAUUAAUUACUUUUUCUUGCCCAUUUGUAAAGAUUGUCAAACAAAUGAGAAGAAAUUAAUUUUGGUACUGUUGAAACAAGCAAUGCUUUUGAUGUCUUCACCUUGCAGCAUUGAGUAGUUAAUUUUGGCUCUGAGAAUGGGAGACAAUUGGAGAUAUAAUUCGGAAGCCACAGAAACAGCAAAUUAUCUGCAGUGGUUUCUAGAUUUUAUUUUCCCACUAUAGUGGUAGAUUUUAUAACGCUACUUUCUACAGUUAAUUGAGGUGAUAAUACAUGACAUAAUUAAUAUUAAUUUCUCUUUAUUAAUCUGUACUGGCAUUUCUUUUAACAACUAUCUGUUCUCCAUAGUAUUAAUUGAUGUUGUGAUCUAUUACCGGCAACAUCUAUGGAAUUUCGUUUAACAUGUAUCUAUUGUUCACAGCUAAAAUUGAUUAUCGUGCACUAUGGUAUUUCAAUAAUUAUCUAUUGUCUACAUCAUAAAUCGACGUUAUGCAUAUUAUCUAUGGUUAUGCAUCUACGAUUAUAUCUCAUUUGUCAAAUGUGAUCUAUCAUGUCAACUUGACGCUUGUCUCCAUUUUAUAGUUCGCUUGUUUUACUUGCUUUUUGAUGCGUGUUUUUGCGUGUCCUGUAUCUCUUUGCGUUAAUUAGUAGUGUAACUGAUAUCUUUUUUGCCAAUUUCCGCAGAUCGUCCUAUAAAUGAGAGAGAAUUUGUUUAGUUUGGAUACCAAUGGCUAGAUGGGUGUGGUCUUUCGUGGAGUUUAUUCUUUGCUGUUUUGUCCUCAUCUUGCAACAUUAUGCAGUCAAUUUUCAACCGACAAGUGAGAGCAACUGGAGAUUUAUUGGAAUUCCA
rnacentral:lncRNA from 1 species